CCGAGUUAGGGUGUCCCAACUCAUGGGCGCCCAACCUCCAACCCUUUGUCUACCUAACCUUAUGUUGCUUCGGCAGGCCCGCCGCGCGGCGUCCUUUUCACCGCCGGCCGCCGGGGGUCUCGCGACCCCGGGCCAGUGCCUGCCGAUGGCCCUCCUAAACUCUUGCUAAAACGUGUCGUCUGAGUUUAACCAAAAGAAUAACCAUA
rnacentral:misc_RNA from 1 species